CUGCUAAGUUCUAUGCUUUAAGACGUUUUUAGUGAUAAAUAAGGGAACCAGCCGCAGUUACAAUACAUGACACUCAACAAACCCCUAGCCUGUUCAUGUAUUUCGCUACAUUGGGAAUAAUUCUGUAGAUUUUAUUGUAUCAUCUAAUGUAAUUGCUGCUUUUCAUGUAUAUAUCUGUGUGGAUAGAUUUUUUUUUUUAGUUGUUUUGUUCUCUAUUACUACACUUUUGUAUAAAAGCAAGACUGCAACAGGCUUCUAUCAAUAUAGGAAAUACUAUCACAUUGAACUA